UACGUAGGGUGCGAGCGUUGUCCGGAAUUAUUGGGCGUAAAGAGCUUGUAGGCGGUUUGUCGCGUCUGCCGUGAAAAUCCGAGGCUCAACCUCGGACUUGCGGUGGGUACGGGCAGACUAGAGUGUGGUAGGGGAGACUGGAAUUCCUGGUGUAGCGGUGAAAUGCGCAGAUAUCAGGAGGAACACCGAUGGCGAAGGCAGGUCUCUGGGCCACGACUGACGCUGAGAAGCGAAAGCGUGGGGAGCGAACAGG
rnacentral:rRNA from 1 species